UACGGAGGAUCCAAGCGUUAUCCGGAUUUAUUGGGUUUAAAGGGUGCGUAGGCGGCUUAUUAAGUCAGGGGUGAAAGACGGUGGCUCAACCAUCGCAGUGCCUUUGAUACUGAUGAGCUUGAAUGAACUAGAGGUAGGCGGAAUGUGACAAGUAGCGGUGAAAUGCAUAGAUAUGUCACAGAACACCGAUUGCGAAGGCAGCUUACUAUGGUUUUAUUGACGCUGAGGAGCGAAAGCGUGGGGAGCGAACAGG
rnacentral:rRNA from 1 species